rnacentral:miRNA from 1 species
AUUGGGUUGGCCAGUAAGUUCUUUCACGUUUUCCAUAAGGUGCAAUAGAAAAACCCGAAUGAACUUUUUUGUCAACCCA